rnacentral:rRNA from 1 species
GACGAACGCUGGCAGCGUGCUUAACACAUGCAAGUCGAACGGAAAGGCCCUGCUUUUGUGGGGUGCUCGAGUGGCGAACGGGUGAGUAACACGUGAGUAACCUGCCCUUGACUUUGAGAUAACUUCAGGAAACUGGGGCUAAUACCGGAUAGGAGCUCCUGCUGCAUGGUGGGGGUUGGAAAGUUUCGGCGGUUGGGGAUGGACUCGCGGCUUAUCAGCUUGUUGGUGGGGUAGUGGCUUACCAAGGCUUUGACGGGUAGCCGGCCUGAGAGGGUGACCGGCCACAUUGGGACUGAGAUACGGCCCAGACUCCUACGGGAGGCAGCAGUGGGGAAUAUUGCACAAUGGGCGGAAGCCUGAUGCAGCAACGCCGCGUGCGGGAUGACGGCCUUCGGGUUGUAAACCGCUUUCGCCUGUGACGAAGCGUGAGUGACGGUAAUGGGUAAAGAAGCACCGGCUAACUACGUG